AUUCACCUCCUGCUGACUCGGGAAGCUGUUCCACCAUCCAUCACGCAAGGAAAAGUUUAGAAGAGAAAGCAUGAUUUACAUUGGAUCCGUUGACAUCAUCAUGUGAUGGAGAGGCCUUUGGAGUCAGCCAGACUCAUCUCAACUCUGCCACUUACUCAUUGUAUGAAACGCGGAAAAGUUCAGUAAAACCACCAAGUAAGUGGUGGAGCUGGGACUCAGUCCAGGCACCCAGACAACCUGGUUCCAGAGUUGGGCUCUACAUUUUACUGCCAAUGCAGUUCAUGGAAAUAACAAAGAUGUGACCUGGAGAAAUACCCAUGACUGUAGCUUUGUGCUUUCACACCCAACCAGGCUACCUCCACAAAUCAGUCUGGCCAGUGCUCACUACUCCAGGCCCCAGAGUCAGAUUUUGUCAUAGUUGCUUAUUGUCAAUUUCCUCCUUCUCUUAAGGAGACUGCAAACCCCUUCUCAGGCCAGUGUCUAUUCAGGGUGGUUUUUGCUCACCCCAGUUCAGACUCCUAACCGGAGUACAAGGCGUUAGAAAGGGGUGGACCGAGGACAGAGGAAGAAUGGUAGGCUCCACAAACCUAGUGCAGAAAGGUAAGACAUGCGAUCAUUUCUUGCUUUUUUUUUUUUUUUGUGACAGAGUUUUGCUGGAGUGCAAGUGGAGUGCAGGCUGGAGUGUAGUGGCAUGAUCAUAACUCACUGCAGCCUAGACCUCCCAGGCUUAAGCAAUCCUCCUGCCUCAGCCUCCUGAGUAGCUAGGGCUACACAUGUGCACUACCAUACCUGGCUAAUUUUUUUAUUUUUGUAGAAAUGGGAUCUCUCCAUGUUGCCCAGGCUGAUCUCGAACUCCUGGGCUCAAGCGAUUCUCUCGUGUCUGCCUCCCAAAUUGCUGGGAUUACAGACGUGAACCACUGUGCCCAAUUUUCCUGCUUCUUCCUAAUCUCUUUUCCUCCCUCUGAGGAUGAGGAUAAUUCCCAAAGAUGCUAACAAAGCUGUGAAUGUGGAGGAACCAGAAUUUUGCUCUGCGUCUAGGGCAACGUUUUAUUUGGUUGUUAGAAACACCUAAUUAAUAUACACAAUUUUACUUCACGUGCCUGUUGUUUCUUGAAAGGCGAGGGGUUCCUCUUUGAGUAUCAUGCAAUCCCAUCUUUAUCAAAUGUUAUUUGAGAAAACUGCCACUGAAAAAUCAAUAAAACAGUUAUUGGAAAAGAAUCAUCCCGAUGAGUGUCCAUUAAGUCUCUAGCAAAGAUUGAUUUCAAAUAAAGGACUGUUGUAUAAAAAACUAACUCUUGGCUAUAAGAGCUUAUAAUGGUGGAAUAGUUUUUGUGUCUGCUUUUAAAAGCUAUUUGGAUCAUUUUCCUCCUUGUCAGCACUCUUUAUAUCUAUGGGAUCAUUCUUUAAUGCAAACAUAGUAGUUCAAGGCAUAGAAUCUGGAGCGAAAUUAUUUGGACUCAUUUCUGGCUUGGUCACUCUCUGAGUUUGGGUUUGCUCAAAAUUUGAUGAGGAUUUGGGUGCAAGCAGCUUAUUUGAGAGGUAACAGCAGGAAGUGCCAGUAAGGAAGUGGGGAAGUGAUGCAGGAAAGUAAAGACAAACAAGAUGGUGGGCAUGAAGGAGUGGGCACUGCCGGGUAUCUGGGGACCAUUCCCGCAGGCAUCCACUGGGAAACUACAGAGCUCAUGCUUCAGUGGUGCGCUACCCCAGGAGUGAGAAAGCUGGGAAUUCAUCUACCAGCUCCCAUCCUGCAUUGGUUGAGGGCUACUCCCGAGGUUGUGAGCUUCCUGGAAUUUCUAGCCUGUCCCUGGGCAAGUCGAGCCUGCUCCUGUGGCCAGAGCAGCCCGCUGGUGAGAGUUGUGCUGGCACAGGACCAGUGGGAGACAAGAGAAUAUGAGAGAGGACCAACAGCAUCUGCUGCAGCCCAACCCGUCACACUCAGAUCCACUCAUGAAACUGUCCAAUCAAUGAUUUCUCAAAGCAUCUGGUCAUAGUUUCCAAGGAAGAAAAAGAUUUAUCACAGGCAUAUUCGUGAGACAAGCUACAGCCCCUUCUGCUGCAGUUAGUCCAAAGGCUCUAACUCUACUCUUCAUCAUCUGACUCUUCUUUCUCCCACUCUAGGUUCCCCCGACCCCCAUCCUGGCCUUCGCUGGUCUAGGUUGUGUGCCCAGUGAGGUAACCUAGACCUUCACCCCUCAUUUCCAUGUCUUCAUCAGCCUAUGGUUGCUGUAGUUGUCCGUUCACCAUACAGAAGCACCAAGAGGGGACCCGGCUGUCCCCUGAGUUCCAGAGAUACUUCCUCUCGCUCCCACUGUGUAGAAGCAAGCCUGCCUCCUGUGACAUCCAACAUCAAUGAUCCCUGCCAGGAUAGAAUUUUUUUUCUUUGGCUUGCUGGACUUCUAGCCAAAGGAGUUUAAGAUGACCAAUUGACAGGUGUAAUAUUAGAUUCAGUGAAAUCUUGACUCUAUUCCCUGAUAUAAGAUUCCCUCCACCUCCUUCCCCCUUCCCCACUGCCAAUUCACUUUGGGAACCAGGAUCUUUAGUUUAGCAGAAAGCAAAGUUAAAGAAACAGGAAGUACAAAUUCCCCAAGCCAGUCACUAGGAAUGAAAAUGAGAGGGUCACUUUCUACUUUUAUUUCCUACCCCCGCAUAUUCUACCUACUAGAGACAUAAGCACCAUAUAAUGAUGUGAUGCAUAUACUGCAUCUUAAAGACCAGUGUCCGAACCCUGUGGUGUAUCAUUCCCAGCUGGCAUCUUAGCUAAGUCUUCAUGAGGCUUCAUGGCAUGUGCUGUAACAAGCGGUCAGUAAAUGAGAACUGUUAUAGCUGCUGAUGUUGAUAAAUACUCUCCUAUAGGAUAUACAUUCAGACCUUAAAAACUAAUGUGGAACUUCAUAUCAUGGAGCCCAGAGUAAGACAACCUUUGUUUUUAGGUUCAAUUAGGCUGAAGCCUCCAGGUUAAGGAACAAAGCCAUGGGGUUGUCUUCCUUUGCAAAUUAGGUGACUGGGCUCCCAGAAAAGAAGAGGGGAAAAUUACAUAAGCAAAUUAUAGUUUCUCAAGACAUAUAAAUCUUCACUGUGGGGCAAGUCUUACAACGUUGGUGGAAAGCUCUUAGUACUGCCAGUGAUGUUCAUUCCUUCCCAUCUUCCUACCACAAGGCCAUGUGGACUAGGUCAAAGCUGUAUAAGAGGCUGGGCAUGGUGGCUCAUGCCUGUAAUCCCAGCAUUUUGGGAGACCUAAGCAGGAAGAUCACUUGCAUCUAGCAGUUUGAGAACAGCCUUGCAACAUAGCAAAACCUUGUCUCUAUAAAAAGUUUUAAAAAUUAAUUGGGUGCAAUGGCACGCACCUGUAGUCCUAAGUCCCAGGUUAACUGAGGUCAGAGGAUUACUUGAGCCCAAGAGUUCGAGGUGGUGAGCCAUGAUUGCACCACUGCACUCCAGUUUAGGCAACAGAGUGAGACUUUGUCUCAAAAGGAAAAAAAAAAAUCUGGUAUGCGAGAUGGAGGUUAGAAGACGGAAGCCCCUGCUCUGCCAUCAAUUCAUCAUCAGACAUUGGGUCCAUUUCUCAACAUCUCUAGACCUUAAUUCUCCCAUCCAUUAACUGGAUAAAAUACUGGCAUUCGUUACCUUACUGAUAAAUAAGAUGGUAUACAUGUGUGAAGGAAUUUUAAAGUUAAAUACUAUUUAAUAUAAGUUUAUAUGAAAAUUGUCAGCUCUGUAAGAGAUGGAACCUGGGCCUUUGAACACAGCCUUCAAAGCAAUGCAUCUGUAGGAAUUAUCUGUGGCCAUGUAUUAACCAGGGUUCUCCAGAGAAACACAACUAAUAGGAUAUAUAUAGAUACAUAAGAGGAGAUUUAUUAUGGGAAUUGGCUCAUGCAGUUAUGGAGGGCUGAAAAGUCAGCUGUCUGUGAGCUGGAGAACCAGGAAAGUUGGUGGGGUAUAGUACAGUUCAAGGCCAAAGCCCUGAGAACCAAGGAGGGGUGUCCAAAGGUCUGAGAACCAGGAGCACAAAUGUCCACGAACAGGAGAAGAUGGAUGUCUCAGUUCCAGAAGAAAGAGAAAAAUUGGCCUUUCCUCUAACUUUUUGUUUCAUUUGGCCCUGCUAUGGUUUGAAUAUUUGUCCCCUCCAAAACUCAUGUCGAAAUGUAAUCCGCAAUGCACCAGUAUUGAGAGGCGGGGGCUAUAAGAGGAGAUUAGGUCAUGAAGGCUCAUGGAUUCAUAAAUAGAUUAAUGGAUUAUCAUGGGAGGGGAACUGGUGGCUUUAUAAGAGGAGAAAGAGAGACCUGAGCUAGCACACUCAGCCCCCACACCAUGGGAUGCCCUGUACUUACUCAGGACUCUGUAAAGAGUUUCCUCCAUCAGGAAGGCCCUCAUCAGAUGUGGCCCCUCAACCUUGGGCUUCUCAGCCUGCAUAACUGUAAUAAAUAAAUUUCUUUCCUUUUUUAAUUACUCAGUCUCCAGUAUGUUCUUAUAUGCAAAAUGAACUAAGACAGGCCCUCAGUGGAUUAGAUG
rnacentral:lncRNA from 1 species